rnacentral:tRNA from 1 species
GUCCCUGUUGCGCAAUGGAUAGCACGUUGGAUUUCUAAUCCAAAGGUCGUGGGUUUCUAUUCCACCUGGGAUG